GAUGAACGCUGGCGGCGUGCCUAAUACAUGCAAGUCGAGCGAACAGACGAGGAGCUUGCUCCUCUGACGUUAGCGGCGGACGGGUGAGUAACACGUGGAUAACCUACCUAUAAGACUGGGAUAACUUCGGGAAACCGGAGCUAAUACCGGAUAAUAUAUUGAACCGCAUGGUUCAAUAGUGAAAGACGGUUUUGCUGUCACUUAUAGAUGGAUCCGCGCCGCAUUAGCUAGUUGGUAAGGUAACGGCUUACCAAGGCGACGAUGCGUAGCCGACCUGAGAGGGUGAUCGGCCACACUGGAACUGAGACACGGUCCAGACUCCUACGGGAGGCAGCAGUAGGGAAUCUUCCGCAAAGGGCGAAAGCCUGACGGAGGAACGCCGCGUGAGUGAUGAAGGUCUUCGGAUCGUAAAACUCUGUUAUUAGGGAAGAACAAAUGUGUAAGUAACUAUGCACGUCUUGACGGUACCUAAUCAGAAAGCCACGGCUAACUACGUG
rnacentral:rRNA from 1 species